GAUGAACGCUGGCGGCGUGCCUAAUACAUGCAAGUCGAGCGAACGGACGAGAAGCUUGCUUCUCUGAUGUUAGCGGCGGACGGGUGAGUAACACGUGGAUAACCUACCUAUAAGACUGGGAUAACUUCGGGAAACCGGAGCUAAUACCGGAUGAUAUUUUGAACCGCAUGGUUCAAAAGUGAAAGACGGUCUUGCUGUCACUUAUAGAUGGAUCCGCGCUGCAUUAGCUAGUUGGUAAGGUAACGGCUUACCAAGGCAACGAUGCAUAGCCGACCUGAGAGGGUGAUCGGCCACACUGGAACUGAGACACGGUCCAGACUCCUACGGGAGGCAGCAGUAGGGAAUCUUCCGCAAUGGGCGAAAGCCUGACGGAGCAGCGCCGCGUGAGUGAUGAAGGUCUUCGGAUCGUAAAACUCUGUUAUUAGGGAAGAACAUAUGUGUAAGUAACUGUGCACAUCUUGACGGUACCUAAUCAGAAAGCCACGGCUAACUACGUG
rnacentral:rRNA from 1 species